rnacentral:misc_RNA from 1 species
AUUCAUAGCGGUUGAGCAAGCUCGCUUGUGUUGAAAUUAUUUUCUCUCAUUGUUGGUUUAAAUUUUGUCAGAGCUACAUGUCUUACAGCAAGCAAAUGCCGGGUCAAGGAAACAAGCACAAUCAAGGAGGCUCCUCAAACCACAAAGGUGGUAAUAUGGACAGGAACAAGGGCAAACACGCAAGACCACAUCAAAAACAAGAACAGCCUGUCGUUGAUGAGAGCUUGCCGUCAGAUGUUGGUGGUGAAGACAACCCAGUGCAACAAAAAGUGGAGAAGAAAUUCUCUGGACGAUGUCGCCUUUUUGUGGGAAACCUUACAAACGAUACGGACGAAGAAGAAUUCAAAAAGAUGUUUAAAAAGUACGGCGAUGUUUCUGAGGUGUACCUCAACAAAGAGCGUGGAUUUGGUUUCAUCAGAUUGGAUACAAGACUAAAUGCAGAAAUGGCAAAAUCUGAACUAGAUGGAUCCACAAGAAGGGGUAGAGUUUUACGUGUCAGAUUUGCUACGCAUGGGGCAGCUCUACGCAUUCGUAAUUUGCACCCAGUUGUAUCCAAUGAACUCCUGGAACAAGCUUUCUCACAAUUUGGUGUAAUUGAAAGAGCUGUUGUUAUUGUUGAUGAUCGUGGUAGACCAACUGGUGAUGGAAUUGUAGAGUUCUCACGAAAACCUGGUGCACAAAAUGCACUGAAAAGGUGUAAAGAGGGCUGCUUUGUUCUUACCACCACCCCAAAGCCCAUCAUUGUAGAACCACUCGACCAAAAAGAUGAAGAAGAUGGUUUACCAGAAAAAAAUGUUCAAAAAAAUGCUACUUAUCACAAAGAAAGAGAAGGUAUUCCUAGAUUUGCUGCUCCGGGUUCCUUUGAAUAUGAAUGGUCCUGUAAGUGGAAACAACAGUAUGAAUAUGAACAAGAACAAUUAGAAUUAUUGAAGAAACAACAAAUGGAUGGUCGUGAUAAGUUGGAUUGCGAGAUGGAGUCUGCAGCUGGUGAACGUCAGGCGAUGUUAAUGAGACAGGAUCUUAUGAGAAGGCAAGAAGAACUUAGAAGAUUGGAAGAAAAUCGUAGAGAUAUGGAAAGAAGGCGUCAAGAAGAGUUCAAGAUGAGGGAAGAACAACGCCGAAGAGAAAUGGCUGCCAAGCAGGAAGAUAUGAUGAGGCGUCGUGAUAGUGACUUGCGCAUGCAACAAGAGUCUUUGAUGAGACGGAGGCCUGAUGACAUGGUUUUACAGAGAGAUCAAGCAUUGCAACAAGAUGAUAUGAAAAGACAAAUGUUUUUACAGUCAAGAUCAAUGGGCUAUAACAAGCAAGAGGCCUUGCGUAAUAUGGGUGGUGGAGGCAGUGUUGGUGGCAAUAACAGUGGAGGUUCUGCUAGCGGUGCAGGAGGAGGUGGAAACUCAUCCGGUGGCCCACAAAGCUUGAUGGGUUCACAAAGAGGAUUAAAUAAUUCAGGCAGUCCAGCUUCAUUGAUGAGUGUUCAAAGCCCACUUGGAGGACCGGACAUCUGGUGUCGCAUUCCCUUUGUUCCUGUGCACUGAUUGAAUAUGUAUAAAUAAUACUUUAUCACAAGUGUUGAAUAUAUGAAUAUUCAGUGAUUACUUACCAGAGUGUAACCAAGUCAAUGAUAUAACCAUGCUACAAAGCGUUUUGAUGAGAAACUAAAGCAGGUGCAUACAGAAUACAUAUGCAGAAGACCUGUUCCUCUUCCUGGCAGCUUCUCACAAAGUGGACAUAAAAAAAAUGCUUUAAAUUACAAUAUGGACUGUGCAAUAUCAAUGUGUAUACUAUUUGUAGAAUUUGAUGCAAUAAAAAAUAUGGUCAAAAUA